rnacentral:misc_RNA from 1 species
UUUGAUUUUUUGAUAUGAAGA